rnacentral:rRNA from 1 species
UACGGGGGGGGCAAGCGUUGUUCGGAAUUACUGGGUGUAAAGGGCUCGUAGGCGGCCAACUAAGUCGGAUGUGAAAUCCCCAGGCUUAACCUGGGAACUGCAUCCGAUACUGGAUGGCUUGAAUCCGGGAGAGGGAUGCAGAAUUCCAGGUGUAGCGGUGAAAUGCGUAGAUAUCUGGAGGAACACCGGUGGCGAAGGCGGCAUCCUGGACCAACACUGACGCUGAUGAGCGAAAGCCAGGGGAGCAAACGGG